UAAUACUGUCCUUUGGGUGGAAAAGAAACAGAAGUUUGUUUGUUUUAAAGAGCCCAAGAAAAUAAAGACUUGGAUCAUAAAGAUAAAUUCAUCUUUUUCAGGGGAGAACACCGAUUGGUUUCACCCCCCGUGUAC